rnacentral:rRNA from 1 species
AUUGAACGCUGGCGGCAGGCCUAACACAUGCAAGUCGAGCGGCAGCGGGAAAGUAGCUUGCUACUUUUGCCGGCGAGCGGCGGACGGGUGAGUAAUGCCUGGGAAAUUGCCCAGUCGAGGGGGAUAACAGUUGGAAACGACUGCUAAUACCGCAUACGCCCUACGGGGGAAAGCAGGGGACCUUCGGGCCUUGCGCGAUUGGAUAUGCCCAGGUGGGAUUAGCUAGUUGGUGAGGUAAUGGCUCACCAAGGCGACGAUCCCUAGCUGGUCUGAGAGGAUGAUCAGCCACACUGGAACUGAGACACGGUCCAGACUCCUACGGGAGGCAGCAGUGGGGAAUAUUGCACAAUGGGGGAAACCCUGAUGCAGCCAUGCCGCGUGUGUGAAGAAGGCCUUCGGGUUGUAAAGCACUUUCAGCGAGGAGGAAAGGUUGGCGCCUAAUACGUGUCAACUGUGACGUUACUCGCAGAAGAAGCACCGGCUAACUCCGUGCCAGCCGCCGCCGUAACAC